rnacentral:rRNA from 1 species
GACGAACGCUGGCGGCGUGCCUAAUACAUGCAAGUAGAACGCUGAAGAGAGGAGCUUGCUCUUCUUGGAUGAGUUGCGAACGGGUGAGUAACGCGUAGGUAACCUGCCUGGUAGCGGGGGAUAACUAUUGGAAACGAUAGCUAAUACCGCAUAAAAUUGAUUAUUGCAUGAUAAUUAAUUGAAAGAUGCAAUUGCAUCACUACCAGAUGGACCUGCGUUGUAUUAGCUAGUUGGUGAGGUAACGGCUCACCAAGGCGACGAUACAUAGCCGACCUGAGAGGGUGAUCGGCCACACUGGGACUGAGACACGGCCCAGACUCCUACGGGAGGCAGCAGUAGGGAAUCUUCGGCAAUGGGGGGAACCCUGACCGAGCAACGCCGCGUGAGUGAAGAAGGUUUUCGGAUCGUAAAGCUCUGUUGUAAGAGAAGAACGGGUGUGAGAGUGGAAAGUUCACACUGUGACGGUAUCUUACCAGAAAGGGACGGCUAACUACGUGCCAGCAGCCGCGGUAAUACGUAGGUCCCGAGCGUUGUCCGGAUUUAUUGGGCGUAAAGCGAGCGCAGGCGGUUAGAUAAGUCUGAAGUUAAAGGCUGUGGCUUAACCAUAGUAUGCUUUGGAAACUGUUUAACUUGAGUGCAGAAGGGGAGAGUGGAAUUCCAUGUGUAGCGGUGAAAUGCGUAGAUAUAUGGAGGAACACCGGUGGCGAAAGCGGCUCUCUGGUCUGUAACUGACGCUGAGGCUCGAAAGCGUGGGGAGCGAACAGGAUUAGAUACCCUGGUAGUCCACGCCGUAAACGAUGAGUGCUAGGUGUUAGGCCCUUUCCGGGGCUUAGUGCCGCAGCUAACGCAUUAAGCACUCCGCCUGGGGAGUACGACCGCAAGGUUGAAACUCAAAGGAAUUGACGGGGGCCCGCACAAGCGGUGGAGCAUGUGGUUUAAUUCGAAGCAACGCGAAGAACCUUACCAGGUCUUGACAUCCCUCUGACCGCUCUAGAGAUAGAGUUUUCCUUCGGGACAGAGGUGACAGGUGGUGCAUGGUUGUCGUCAGCUCGUGUCGUGAGAUGUUGGGUUAAGUCCCGCAACGAGCGCAACCCCUAUUGUUAGUUGCCAUCAUUCAGUUGGGCACUCUAGCGAGACUGCCGGUAAUAAACCGGAGGAAGGUGGGGAUGACGUCAAAUCAUCAUGCCCCUUAUGACCUGGGCUACACACGUGCUACAAUGGCUGGUACAACGAGUCGCAAGCCGGUGACGGCAAGCUAAUCUCUGAAAGCCAGUCUCAGUUCGGAUUGUAGGCUGCAACUCGCCUACAUGAAGUCGGAAUCGCUAGUAAUCGCGGAUCAGCACGCCGCGGUGAAUACGUUCCCGGGCCU